rnacentral:rRNA from 1 species
UACGUAGGGGGCGAGCGUUAUCCGGAUUCAUUGGGCGUAAAGCGCGCGUAGGCGGCCGCCUAAGCGGAACCUCUAACCCCGGGGCUCAACCUCGGGCCGGGUUCCGGACUGGGCGGCCCGAGUGCGGUAGAGGAGAGCGGAAUUCCCGGUGUAGCGGUGGAAUGCGCAGAUAUCGGGAAGAACACCGAUGGCGAAGGCAGCUCUCUGGGCCGUCACUGACGCUGAGGCGCGAAAGCUGGGGGAGCGAACAGG